rnacentral:rRNA from 1 species
UACAGAGGAGCCAAGCGUUGUCCGGAUUGACUGGGCGUAAAGCGCACGCAGGCGGAUGCGCGCGUGGGUGUGAAAUCUGGCCGCUUAACGGCCAGGCGCCAUCCCAUACGGCGUGUCUGGAGGGCUGCAGAGGUCGAUGGAAUUGCCGGUGUAGUGGUGAAAUGCGUAGAGAUCGGCAGGAACACCCAGGGGAAACCGAGU